GGUAUUUUGACCGUGCAAAGGUAGCAUAAUCAUUAGUUUUUUAAUUGAAAGCUGGAAUGAAAGGUUGGAUGAAAAAUAGGCUGUCUCUAUUUAAAUUUAUUAGAAUUUUAUUUUUAAGUUAAAAAGCUUAAAUUUUAAUAGAAGACGAGAAGACCCUGUAGAGUUUUAUUUAUUUAAUAAAUAAAAAUAGUAGUAUUAAUUAUUUUUAUUUAUUAAAUAAAUUUAGUUGGGGUGAUUGAAAAAUUUAAUGAACUUUUUUUAUAUAUAUACAUUGAUUUAUGAUUAUUUGAUCCUUAGUUUAAGAUUAAAAGAUAAAAUUACCUUAGGGAUAACAGCGUAAUUUUUUUUGAGAGUUCUAAUCGAAAGAAAAGAUUGCGACCUCGAUGUUGGAUUAAAAUAAAAUUUUGGUGUAGAAGCUAAAA
rnacentral:rRNA from 1 species